UACGGAGGGUGCAAGCGUUGCUCGGAAUUAUUGGGCGUAAAGGGUAGGUAGGUGGUCUCAUUUGUCUGGGGUGAAAGCCUUGAGCUUAACUCAAGAAGUGCCCCAGAAACGGUGAGACUGGAGUCUUGGAGAGGGUCGUGGAAUUCCCGGUGUAGCGGUGAAAUGCGUAGAGAUCGGGAGGAACACCAGAGGCGAAGGCGGCGACCUGGACAAGGACUGACACUCAACUACGAAAGCGUGGGGAGCAAACAGG
rnacentral:rRNA from 1 species